rnacentral:lncRNA from 1 species
AAUAGAAAAAAGGAGUAAGAAGUGUGUUAAGAAAUUGGAUGUGAUAAAACUGAAAGGGUGUGAGAUAGCAUUCAAAGCUUAUCAAGGGCCUUGCUGUGAUGAGAAAUUAAUGGAGGUUAUGGAAAAACUCUCAAGGGUAGCGUACAAGAAUCUGUGUGAGGCAGUAAAAGAUAGCACGGAGGUUUACACAUGGGAAGACUAUGAAGAGAUUUAUGGCAAUACUACUAGAGAAGGAUUUGUGGUGAGAGAGAGCCGUAUUAGCGAGAAUGAAGGAUAUUUGAUUAUGUCGGGAAUAGAGAAAAGGAAUGCCUCAAUAGAGUGCAGAUACCAAGCCUAUAGUCAGAUAUUAAGGAAAAAAUGGGAGAUAACUCAGGAGAAGUUUGGAAUGUAUAAAACAUGCCAGAAAUUAGAUGAAUAUUCGGUGUGGAAUGUCCCGUCUCAUGAUGAAAUCACAGAGGAAGAAUACGAGGUUGUGGAAUAUCCUCUGUCAAUUGAUGAAGAGGUUUUUGGCAAUUUUAAAUUGGAAAUGUUAGAAAGAAAGGCACUGAUUCAUGAUAUUAAAACCACGCCGCUGGUGACUCCGGAAUUUUUGGUAAGUGAGGAAAAGAAGGGGUCAAAGAAAAUUAGAUGGAAGCGUGGUGCUGGAGAUUAUAGAGGGGAAAAAUGUAGCGUAGACGCUGUAAAGUGGUAUGUCAACAUUUUUCAGAAAUGGAAAGACGUAACUAAAAACUGGACUAGAAAUUUUACAUACGGUAAUGGCACGCAAUGUGAAUCAAUUAGAUUACAAGAGACAAUUUUAGAUGAGCAUGAAAUGCAAGUUUUUUGGGAUACGGGAUUGAACGGGAGUCUGUAUUAUACGGGGAAUGGUAGUUUGCCAAGGGAGGAAAGGUGGAAGUAUUGGGCUGCACAGGGAAGCGAUGAUAAAAAUCCUUUGAGACACUGUGUUUUCUAUUACAUCCGAAUCCCGGUAAAAACAUUGAAUGACGAUGAAAAAUCCGUUGAAUUAGAGUCAUACAAGGAGGAUAAAGUCAAAAAGUGUUUUUACUUAAAUGCCUAUAAUACGACUCCGAUGUGGG